UUUGAACUCGGUAGUUAAUGAUUUGAGUUGUUAAGUUUUAUACUCAUAGAUGAGCUUGAAAAAUAGAGACGCAAUGUCACUAAUCGGAAAUGAAUAAUCAUCGUAAGGCAUGGAUAACGAAUCAAUGGAAUUUACUUCCGUCAGGUAUGUUCAUAAUGAUUGUCGAGUGGUAUAGAACUUGAAUGCUCGUAACUGUGGAAAUUCUGAUAGAAUGUAAGAGACAGCAAGUAUCGUUAAGAAAUACUAACCUUGAUGCUCGACUUGUUGGCCAUGUUCAUUUGAACAAGACAUUGUAGAAAAGAUAAGCAUGACAUGGAUAACAAUAGUAACCAUGGAAAUAAUGCUUAGUUUUCGUGUUAAGUACGGAUAAGUAAGUUUAAGAAGGGUGAUUUUGGUUGUAACCGUAAGUCUUUCGAAUGAUUAUAAAUGCGUAUGAUAAAAUAUCGACCCCUCCUAUAAGCUUAAGGGUAAUCAGAAGUAAGGAUAGAAAUGGAAUGUUAAGGAAGGCUCAUAGUGAAUAAAAUGAAAGAUAGUAUAUGAUGUAUGAGUAAAAUAAAAUAAAUUGAUUUAUUUCAAGUAGUGAAUAUAUAUAUAUAUAUGUAAUAUGCUUAAAUAGGAUGUUAGAUACAAGCCAUAGACUUAGUCUGUAUGAUUAAUAACUGUAUACACUUGGAAUAAAUUCGAUGAAUGAAGCGCUAGUGAUGGUAUGUGCUAGGAGCUAGCAUUAUAAAGUGAAGACGACACUAAUAAGAGCUCUGGAUCAGAUUCUAACUUUAAUGCGAUUAUGAAAGUAAUUUACUUGAUUUAAGAACGGAGGGGCAAUGUGUACGAAGACGUUUAUGAAUGAAUGAGAUUCUUGCCAAGAUCUCGAAUGCAUCCCUGUGAUAGUAAGCAUUGUAAAUGAAGAAAUGAAAGAGUAGGAGUAGAAUUGGUCCAGUCGUAAUGAGAAAGGUUUCGGGGACGAAACCUCCUUUAAGGGGGGUAGACUUGUAACACCCCAAAACUUGUGUGAUAGAAUAUUUUGAUGUUUUAAUGUCCUACAUGAUUAGUUAAAUUUUAAAUGUAAAGGAAGUUUAUAAACUUUGAGUAAGUAUAUGAAAAUGAUAACAAAGAGUAACCUUGGGGGUUUAAUAUGUAAAAUUUGACAAAUUAUAUAAAAAAAAGGGGAAAAGAAAACCCAGUGUUGGGUGUGGGGGUUGCGACGCAGGGAGAGCAGGAAGGGGGAGAACCCUUCUUCUCCAUCUUACCAAGAAAAUCUACAAAUUGAAGGCGAUUUUGGAUGAAUUUCGUUUGCAUGUGAACAAUUUCUCAAUCAUCUAAGAGUUCCUAACCUAGGGUUAUGAAUGAACGUGUCAAGGAGAGCUCAAGCAUAGGAGGAUAAC
rnacentral:lncRNA from 1 species